rnacentral:lncRNA from 1 species
UGAUUUGUUGGUCGGAUCGUAUACUUGUGGAGAUAUGCCGAAUCUGAGUGAUUUUGCCCAGAUUGAUUGCCUCCCACAUUGUUGAAAGGUUUUCUCGGUGGUGUUUGAUUAUAGUGAUAUAAAAUGGCUACCCCAUUGGUCAACAAUAAACAAGCACAGAAAAUCGAAUAUUAUGUAAUUCAUUUAUUUAAGUAGGACGGUGGCUUUUUAUUUGUUGAAGGAAUGAAUAUGUCAAUACCAAACAGAUAAUACAAAAAGCUCAAUACGAAGUCAGGAAGGGCUCAGCAAUUUUUAUUUUAUUUUAAAUUUAAAAAAAAGUUCAAGUACAAAAUGUAAUAAAAAAUAGCCUAAAAAGUAAAAAAAAACCCUAAAAUCAAAUCCUACAAACAACAAGUCACGACAUCGCCGAAUCUGUCGCGGAAAGAUGGCUUUGCUUAAGAUGGAUGAGAUAACAAGAUAAGCAUGGGUAUUUCUUUAACAUAAAAUAGUAGAACAGAAAAAUAUGAGAUAUAAACCAAAUGUAUAAUCUAUAAACCAAAGAUGGAGAGAUACGAAUUCAAUUUCUCAUCAUUAUGCUGAAUAUGUCUCCAAUUUGGAACAAACACAGCCUUGGCGCACCUGGUGAAUUCAAAACGAACUUUUUUUUUCCCUCUUUGAACAGGGCAGGACUUGAGUGCUCUGCUCAGAACUUUGUGGUUGCAUGUUACUUAUAAGCAAAUAAAGGAAGUAGAGUACGUGCAUAAUAAUUCAGCACCACACACUGCGAUG